rnacentral:rRNA from 1 species
GGCCCACCAAGGCGACGACGGGUAGCCGGCCUGAGAGGGCGACCGGCCACACUGGGACUGAGACACGGCCCAGACUCCUACGGGAGGCAGCAGUGGGGAAUAUUGCACAAUGGGCGCAAGCCUGAUGCAGCGACGCCGCGUGAGGGAUGACUGCCUUCGGGUUGUAAACCUCUUUCAGCAGGGACGAAGCGAAAGUGACGGUACCUGCAGAAGAAGCACCGGCCAACUACGUGCCAGCAGCCGCGGUAAUACGUAGGGUGCAAGCGUUGUCCGGAAUUAUUGGGCGUAAAGAGCUCGUAGGCGGUUCGUCACGUCGGCUGUGAAAACCUGGGGCUCAACUCCGGGCCUGCAGCCGAUACGGGCGGACUAGAAUUCGGUAGGGGAGACUGGAAUUCCUGGUGUAGCGGUGAAAUGCGCAGAUAUCAGGAGGAACACCGGUGGCGAAGGCGGGUCUCUGGGCCGAUAUUGACGCUGAGGAGCGAAAGCGUGGGGAGCGAACAGGAUUAGAUACCCUGGUAGUCCACGCCGUAAACGUUGGGCGCUAGGUGUGGGCCACAUUCCACGUGGUCUGUGCCGCAGCUAACGCAUUAA